rnacentral:tRNA from 1 species
GGUGGCUCAGAGGUAGAGCACUUGCCUUGCAUGCAUGAGGCGCUGGGUUCAAUUCCUCAGCACCG